GUACAGGAGUAUCUAUGUUUUUUUUUUAAGUGCCUCAUUAUCAUCAAUGACACUCUGCUAGAGUAUCUAUGUUUUUUUCCAAAUCAUUGUCUUAGAUUGAUUUGAACUUUUUAUGUUCUUACCACUACCAUAUAGACAUGGCUCAUAUGCAUAGCAAUCACUAUCUUUGGAUUGUUGUUCUCUUAUAGGUGGUUUCUUGUAGGUGCUUUUUCUUAGUUUCGUGUUGUUUUGUUGGUGGUUGCUUGCUAACUUUUAGGACUUGAUCAGGUUGGUUAAUGGUGCUACUUCUUUAUUUAGUUAACUUUAGUAGGAAACUAUGCUUAUCAUGAUAUUUCUGUUAGGUUGAUACUCAUUUUUAGGAUUUUUAUUAUGCUCAUGAGUUUCUUCUCUUUUGAGUCAUCUAUUGAGAAUUCAUGUUCAAAAUACACCGUAGUAGUGUCCAAGCAUUUAUUUUGAAAGAAAUGUUAAGAAGUAGCAGCAAAUCUCUGUCAAAAGCAGAAUUAAUGGAAGUUGUUUCAAGGCUUGGGCUAAAGAGGACCUUCUCGAGGAACAAAAUCAAGAGUUAGCCACCUAACGAAGGGAGCAUGAUAACUUUGAAGCUGAAAGAUCCCAACGUCUUAAACAAAUACAUGACCUUAAAGAACAUAUUCAAGAUAAAGAGAGCCAGAUUCUUGAAUUGGAGGAGCAGCAGGUGACUCUAGCUAUCACCCAAUACUUGCAAGAACAGGUCUAUCCCAGCCCUUGACUUUUUUAAGCCACCAUGUCUAUGAUAUUUUGCAAGGAAUUCUUGUUCAAAGGAUAGUUUUAUAAUUAGCAAAAGCUGAUUUACUUAAAUAUAAUUGGUUCAGAUCCGAUGAGAAAUUAUGGUUUUGUCAUGGUCGAAGGUUUCUUGCAGCAAUUUGUCUAGUUUCAGAUGCUUUUGUACUUGAAUUGAGCGAAUUAGGGCAUUGAGUGUAAAUUUUUGAAUAAGUUGGGAAAUUCAAAAAUGGUAAUGUACCGAAUCAUUAAUGAGAAUUUCCUGCUUCUUUGCUGAAAUCAUUUCUCUCAAACUAGUGCAGAGCUCUUAAAUCUUGUUUGGAAAUUGUAUAUCUUGAUUUUAACAGUCGAGAUUGAUCGACAUUGAUGCUUCUUCUUUCGGCCUAGAAGUAGAAUCUUGUGGUUUAUCCUAGAAUCCAGUUUCUUAUUACACUAGAUUGUCCUAAAGAUGAAAAUAGAGUUUCUUGAGAUUGAAAUAGUUGUUGCUUUUUUCUUUUUCUCAUUCCUGCACCAGUUCUAAAUUUAGUCCCAUACACUGCUAAUUUGUUUGUGUGUGGAAUAUAUGUAGAUUUUCAGUUUCUCCUAGAGCUAAACUCAGGAUCUUUGCAGUUUAGUUAUUGUGUUUCUAUUCAUUUCAACCUGUUAACAAUUUAUUUUUUAUUUUUGGUAAUUCCAUUUCACACAAGCCUUCAUAUUCGAGGGUGUGUCUAGUAGUGCUUGCGUGUUGGUGUCACUUUGUGUCUCCUUAGGGCCCUUUAACAAUGAUUUACUAUCAGUGAAAUGGCAGCUGUUUUCCAUUUUAUUCUCCUCUAAUAGCAAUAGUUGUCAGUGAUUAGGGCCUUUUGGAUAAAAUUUAUCUUUACCCUUGUAUAUACUUAAUGAGAUACUUACGAAGCUAUUUGUUUGGGAGUCUUGGUGGCUCCAUUGUCAUUUAAAUCCUUGCUUUGUGAUAAUUUUAGAGACAGGUUAGCUACAAACUGUUAUUAAUUGUUAUAAAUGAUGACAUGGAAACU